AAAAACAUGUCUUCUUGAUUAUUAUAUGAAGUCGGGCCUGCCCAAUGAUUUAAUUAAAUGGCCGCAGUAUAUUGACUGUGCAAAGGUAGCAUAAUCAUUAGUUCCUUAAUUAGGAGCUGGAAUGAAAGGUUUGAUGAAAAAUCAACUGUCUCUAUUAGGUUUUUAUAGAAUUUUAUUUUUGAGUAAGAAAGCUUAAAUUUUGUAUAAAGACGAGAAGACCCUAUAGAGUUUUAUAGGGAUUGUUUCUAAGUUGUUGAAUGGUUUUUAUUUGUUUGGAUUAAUUUCUAUUUUGUUGGGGUGAUAUAAAAAUUUAUAUAACUUUUUAUUUUUUUUACAUUAAUUGAUGAAUUUUUGAUCCUUUGUUUAGGAUUAUGAGAUUAAAUUACCUUAGGGAUAACAGCGUAAUUUUUUCUGAAAGUUCUUAUUGAUGAAGGAGUUUGCGACCUCGAUGUUGGAUUAAAAUUAACUGUUGGUGUAGUUGCUGAACAGUUAGGUCUGUUCGACCUUUAAAAUUUUACAUGAUCU
rnacentral:rRNA from 1 species